GGCCUGGUGGUGUAGUUGGAAACAUGUCCUCCUCAAGUAAUGGACUAUCAAAUACUUUAAAGGAAGUCCUUUGUUCGAAUCAAGGCCAGGCUA